rfam:Gymnopus luxurians FD-317 M1 unplaced genomic scaffold GYMLTscaffold_31, whole genome shotgun sequence.
GGCCGCGUGGCGUAAUGGCAACGCGCUAGUUUCCGGUCAAAAGGCUAUUGGUUGCGGUAGCUAGAGAUUGUGGGUUCGAACCCCACCGUGGUCG